rnacentral:rRNA from 1 species
CCAGGGGGGAUUGCCCUAGUAACGGCGAGUGAAGCGGCAACAGCUCAAAUUUGAAAUCUGGCUCUUUCAGAGUCCGAGUUGUAAUUUGCAGAGGGCGCUUUGGCUUUGGCAGCGGUCCAAGUUCCUUGGAACAGGACGUCACAGAGGGUGAGAAUCCCGUACGUGGUCGCUAGCUAUUGCCGUGUAAAGCCCCUUCGACGAGUCGAGUUGUUUGGGAAUGCAGCUCUAAAUGGGAGGUAAAUUUCUUCUAAAGCUAAAUAUUGGCCAGAGACCGAUAGCGCACAAGUAGAGUGAUCGAAAGAUGAAAAGCACUUUGGAAAGAGAGUCAAACAGCACGUGAAAUUGUUGAAAGGGAAGCGCUUGCAGCCAGACUUGCUUGCAGUUGCUCAUCCGGGCUUUUGCCCGGUGCACUCUUCUGCAGGCAGGCCAGCAUCAGUUUGGGCGGUGGGAUAAAGGUCUCUGUCAUGUACCUCUCUUCGGGGAGGCCUUAUAGGGGAGGCGACAUACCACCAGCCUAGACUGAGGUCCGCGCAUCUGCUAGGAUGCUGGCGUAAUGGCUGUAAGCGGCCCGUCUUGAAACACGGACCAAGGAGUCUAACAUCUAUGCGAGUGUUUGGGUGUCAAGCCCGAGCGCGUAAUGAAAGUGAACGGAGGUGGGAACCCGCAAGGGUGCACCAUCGACCGAUCCUGAAGUUUACGGAAGGAUUUGAGUAAAAGCAUGGCUGUUGGGACCCGAAAGAUGUGAGCGAUGCUGGAAUAGGGGGGAGCCAGAGGAAACUCUAGGGGGAGGCUCGCAGGGGUUUUGGCUGGGAAGCGGUGGUCGAAUUGCGACGUAGGGGCGAGGGACUGGUCGAGGAUCUGAGAGGUGGUGCUG